UAAACGCAAUAAAGACAUCAUUACAUUUACAAAUGAUGCAUUACAAAUAAACAAAUCAUUACAAAUGGAGAUUUAAAGAUUGUUAUAUCGAUAAAUAGGUAUGUGUAAAGCGAAAUAUAUAUUUACUUUUAUUACCUAUUUGGGGUUAAUUUAAAAAUUAUUUUAAAGAGAAUUUUCCAAGGGAAAAAUAUAGCCCACAUGUGGCAUAGUAUCUAAUAAUAGUGACAUAUUCAUAGGAAAACACAUGGUGGUCAACUUUGCACGUUUGUCGCUUUUAUAUAUGCCUUGUGGAAGCGAGCAAAUUUUGUUAAAUGUUCUGUAUUUGCUAUUGAUUAUUGAAUACAAGGUGAAUUAAUAUAAUGAAUUAUGAAUAAUGAAUUCAAUUCAAUAACUGUGUUUCCUUUUGGAGUUGACCACCAAGUGCGCUAAAGUGUCACAUGAUUCAGAUUGAAACCCAACUAUGGUCGCAUCACUGUUUAGUCUGUUAGUCACUCUUUUAAUCUGCCUUUUGCAAUUGGCCCAUUAGGAUUUGAAUCAUGUAGUCCGGCUUGGCUAAUUGACUAUUAGAGCAACAUAAAUAAUAAAUAUUUACUAAUAAUUAGUAAUAAUUAUUAGUUAGAAAUAUUAAUAUUUUAUUGCUUUAGGGAAUACUAUACAGUAACCUAGCCAGAGCUGGGGGGACCCCUCUCAGAAAAUGUUGCCCCCCCCCCCGUACAUCCAGGGGCGAAACUAGCCCAUUUUAAUUAAGGGGUGUCUGCUAGAAUUUCCCUGCAAAAGCCGAUGAUGCCCUGCAGCAAAUUUUUUGGGGCCACUAUUUUUCCCAAAAAUGUUGGCGAGCCGGGGUGGGGGAGAUAGGUUGAAAAAAUUUUUCCGGACAUAAACCAGUCAAAUUAAGGGUCAAAAAUUUUUUUCCAUACAAAUUCCUUUUAAAACAUGCGUGAAACCCUUAUUUUUGGACCAGUAUCUGUAAAAUGUGGGUCUUAAAUCCCUGUAAGUUACUUAAUAACUCUACAUUCUAUCAUUUAGAAUCUUUGAUUGCCCUGCCAAUCCAGAUGAUUCGCCCUGCCAAUCCAGAUGAUUCGUACUUUGGGGGGUGUCACACUCCCCCAUAUAAUAUUUGUAUUCUAUUUUACAUAGUUUAUUUCUAAUAUCAACUGCACGCUACAAAAUACUAAUCCUAAUGAUUCCAUGUGCUCUCCGGUCACAUGACUAUAUCUAUCACUCAAGUCUAUGACAUCACUACACCCCAUACCCCCCCCCCCAUCAAGUUUCGUCCCUGCGUACAUCUAACUUUUGUAUGCCUUGAUUAAGCUGUCCCUCCCCCUGGGUCCACAAAGUCUGAGUGCAUAUUUUUGGAAAUACAACAUUUGAAUUUUUCUUAUAUUUUACUAGAAAUUAUGCACAAUAACACAGUAAAUUUUUAGUAAAAUGUUCAAGGAAAAGGAUCUUCCAACAGCAGCAGAUGACACAGCAAAUCUUUAGUAAAAUGUUCAAGGAAAAGAAACUUCCAACAGCAGCAGAUGACACAGUAAAUCUUUAGUAAAAUGUUCAAGGAAAAGAUCUUCCAACAGUGGCAGAUAACACAAUAAAUCUUUACUCUGUCUAACGCUAGAUCAUUUUACUCAUCAAGUGGAGUCUUGCAACUUAAUGGGUUAAUGAAUCAGUUGGUUAUUACAACCGAUUUCAACUUGAUUCAUAUUUAACAUUCACUUUAACCCAUUUACUGGCAGUACUCUACCACUGACGAGUAAUUAAUCGUCUGGCAUUAGACAGAGUAAAUACUAAGUAGGGCACAUUUGGGCACAUUCACAUUGUCAGUUAAUGAGUUAAUAUUAACA